UACGUAGGGGGCGAGCGUUGUCCGGAGUUACUGGGCGUAAAGCGCUUGUAGGCGGUCCACCAAGUUUGGGGUGACAGUUGCCGACUUAAUCGGCAAAGUGCCUCAAAGACUGGCGGACUUGAGGGCCACAGAGGGACAUGGAACUCCUGGUGUAGCGGUGGAAUGCGCAGAUAUCAGGAAGAACACCCGUGGCGAAGGCGGCUCUCUGGAACGCAACUGACGCUGAGACGCGAAAGCGUGGGGGAGCAAACAGG
rnacentral:rRNA from 1 species